rnacentral:rRNA from 1 species
CUACGGGGUGCAGCCGUGGGGAAUAUUGCACAAUGGAGGAAACUCUGAUGCAGCAACGCCGCGUGGAGGAUGACACUUUUCGGAGCGUAAACUCCUUUUAUAUAGGAAGAAGAUGACGGUACUAUAUGAAUAAGCGCCGGCUAACUCCGUGCCAGCAGCCGCGGUAAUACGGAGGGCGCAAGCGUUACUCGGAAUCACGGGGCGUAAAGAGCGUGUAGGCGGAUUAAAAAGUCAGAAGUGAAAUCCUAUAGCUUAACUAUAGAACUGCUUCUGAAACUCUUAAUCUAGAAUAUGGGAGAGGUAGAUGGAAUUUCUGGUGUAGGGGUAAAAUCCGUAGAGAUCAGAAGGAAUACCGAUUGCGAAGGCGAUCUACUAGAACAUUAUUGACGCUGAGACGCGAAAGCGUGGGGAGCAAACAGGAUUAGAUACCCUGGUAGUC